rnacentral:rRNA from 1 species
UAGGGAAUCUUCGGCAAUGGACGAAAGUCUGACCGAGCAACGCCGCGUGAGUGAAGAAGGUUUUCGGAUCGUAAAACUCUGUUGUUAGAGAAGAACAAGGACGUUAGUAACUGAACGUCCCCUGACGGUAUCUAACCAGAAAGCCACGGCUAACUACGUGCCAACAGCCGCGGUAAUACGUAGGUGGCAAGCGUUGUCCGGAUUUAUUGGGCGUAAAGCGAGCGCAGGCGGUUUCUUAAGUCUGAUGUGAAAGCCCCCGGCUCAACCGGGGAGGGUCAUUGGAAACUGGGAGACUUGAGUGAGAAGAGGAGAGUGGAAUUCCAUGUGUAGCGGUGAAAUGCGUAGAUAUAUGGAGGAACACCAGUGGCGAAGGCGGCUCUCUGGUCUGUAACUGACGCUGAGGCUCGAAAGCGUGGGGAGCAAACAGG